UGGGGGCACCCUGAACGAAGCAGUGCCGCGUGGAUGAAGAAGGCCUUCGGGUUGUAAAGUCCUUUCGUGGGGGACGAAAAGGCGGGUCCUAAUACGAUCUGCUGUUGACGUGAACCCAAGAAGAAGCACCGGCUAACUCCGUGCCAGCAGCCGCGGUAAUACGGGGGGUGCAAGCGUUAAUCGGAAUCACUGGGCGUAAAGGGUGCGUAGGCGGUACGUUAGGUCUGUCGUGAAAUCCCCGGGCUCAACCUGGGAAUGGCGGUAGAAACCGGCGCACUAGAGUAUGGGAGAGGGUGGUGGAAUUCCAGGUGUAGCGGUGAAAUGCGUAGAGAUCUGGAGGAACAUCAGUGGCGAAGGCGGCCACCUGGCCCAAUACUGACGCUGAGGCACGAAAGCGUGGGGAGCAAACAGGAUUAGAUACCCUGGUAGUCCACGCCCUAAACGAUGAAUACUAGAUGUUUGGUACCUAGCGUACUGAGUGUCGUANCUAACGCGAUAAGUAUUCCGCCUGGGAAGUACGGCCGCAAGGUUAAAACUCAAAGGAAUUGACGGGGGCCCGCACA
rnacentral:rRNA from 1 species